rnacentral:sRNA from 1 species
UUGGCUUCGAUUGGAUGCUCUACGGGGCUA